GAUGAACGCUGGCGGCGUGCCUAAUACAUGCAAGUCGAGCGAACAGACGAGAAGCUUGCUCCUCUGACGUUAGCGGCGGACGGGUGAGUAACACGUGGAUAACCUACCUAUAAGACUGGGAUAACUUCGGGAAACCGGAGCUAAUACCGGAUAAUAUAUUGAACCGCAUGGUUCAAUAGUGAAAGACGGCUUUGCUGUCACUUAUAGAUGGAUCCGCGCCGCAUUAGCUAGUUGGUAAGGUAACGGCUUACCAAGGCAACGAUGCGUAGCCGACCUGAGAGGGUGAUCGGCCACACUGGAACUGAGACACGGUCCAGACUCCUACGGGAGGCAGCAGUAGGGAAUCUUCCGCAAUGGGCGAAAGCCUGACGGAGCAACGCCGCGUGAGUGAUGAAGGUCUUCGGAUCGUAAAACUCUGUUAUUAGGGAAGAACAAAUGUGUAAGUAACUAUGCACGUCUUGACGGUACCUAAUCAGAAAGCCACGGCUAACUACGUG
rnacentral:rRNA from 1 species